UCUAAUCAAAUGUGAUAGCCAGAAUAAAAUAUAAGCUCAGAAAAUGAAAACAUCUUCUCAUUAAUGCCAUGGCAUCUCUGAAGUCUGACAUGCGA
rnacentral:snoRNA from 1 species